rnacentral:rRNA from 1 species
AUUGAACGCUGGCGGCAUGCCUUACACAUGCAAGUCGAACGGUAACGCGGGGCAACCUGGCGACGAGUGGCGAACGGGUGAGUAAUGUAUCGGAACGUGCCCAGUUGUGGGGGAUAACUGCUCGAAAGAGCAGCUAAUACCGCAUACGACCUGAGGGUGAAAGCGGGGGAUCGCAAGACCUCGCGCAACUGGAGCGGCCGAUAUCAAAUUAGGUAGUUGGUGGGGUAAAGGCCCACCAAGCCAACGAUCUGUAGCUGGUCUGAGAGGACGACCAGCCACACUGGGACUGAGACACGGCCCAGACUCCUACGGGAGGCAGCAGUGGGGAAUUUUGGACAAUGGACGCAAGUCUGAUCCAGCCAUGCCGCGUGCGGGAAGAAGGCCUUCGGGUUGUAAACCGCUUUUGUCAGGGAAGAAACGCUCUGGGUUAAUACCUCGGGGUAAUGACGGUACCUGAAGAAUAAGCACCGGCUAACUACGUGCCAGCCGCCGCCGUAAAAC